rnacentral:sRNA from 2 species
GGGUGGUGUCAAUUGGCGUCCCUUUGCGAUGCGAUAGAGGUGACGUGAAGGCGGGAUGAUGUUUGGGAGUCGACGGUGGUGGAGGAGGCUCUGCGGCGGAGGUUGGAAGGCUGUUUGCCGCGAGAAUGACGCGCCAGUAAAUAAAUGAUCUCCGUGAGACAAACACCCGCGGUUGUUGCUUCUGGGUGGCUACAGGCUCGUUUCCAUCGAUUGACCUACUACCUUCGCACAGUGAUGAUAUAAUGAUAAGUACAGAAUACAGUUUUUCCAAUUCUCCUUGGAGCCUCUCUCUCUUCCUUUCUCUUUCCCCCCUCUUUUCUUCGCUUCCUUUCUCGCUCAUUUCUUCUCCAGUUCUUUGAAGGGAAAAAAAUGUAAAACCCUAUUUCAAACUCCCCCCUUUCGCGAAAUAUCCCCAAAGUUUGAAUAAACAACAUUACCCGAAAAUGGUCUUGGUGAUCUAUAUACUUUGUUUGGCUUGCCUAUUUAGACUUGGCCAAUAUUUUUUUUCUUUUACUCUGUGGGGAUUAAACGGUGGCCCAUGGGCAAGCUACGAAGCUAUGUAAUGUAUAUAAGUCGAACGACAGCCUGGUCCAGGGCAAAUGCAAUAAGAUCCCUAGUUAAGGGACCGAUAAAAGCAAAAGAAUAAUGGGAACGUUUUGCAUUGAAUGAAAAGGGUCAUUGAAGCUACACCACACUGGUCUAUUACCCUCUCCAUCUUUCGCAAUGUAUCUAAAUUGAAGCAAUC